GACGAACGCUGGCGGCGUGCUUAACACAUGCAAGUCGAGCGGAGCGGCGAACGGGGGAGUAACGCGUGAGUAACUGCCCCCCUCUCUGGGAUAACAGUUGGAAACGGCGGCUAAUACCGGAUAGUGGGGGAUGACUCGCGGCCUAUCAGCUUGUUGGUGGGGUAGUGGCCUACCAAGGCGACGACGGGUAGCCGGGCUGAGGGGGGGACCGGACACAAUGGGCUGAGAUACGGCCCAAUCUCGUACGGGGGGCAGCAGUGGGGAAUAUUGCACAGUGGGGGAAACCCUGAUGCAGCGGCGCCGGGUGCGGGAUGACGUCCUUCGGGUUGUGAACCGCUUUCAGCCAUGACGCGGUAGUGGCAGAAGAAGCACCGGCUAACUACGUGCCAGCAGCCGCGGUAAUUC
rnacentral:rRNA from 1 species